rnacentral:rRNA from 1 species
UCUGGGGGCCAGAGAUGGGAAGGAACACGCCCGAUCCCGUCUGAUCUCGGAAGCUAAGCAGGGUCGGGCCUGGUUAGUACUUGGAUGGGAGACCACCUAGGAAGGCCGGGUGCUGUAGGCA